rnacentral:snoRNA from 1 species
AUUGUGAUGUGAUGACAACUUCUUGAGCUAUAUAUUUCUUGAGGUUCUCAAUGAAGAAAACGUCUCACUAAAUGAUUUGCACGUCAGUCUGAUCACAAU